ensembl:lncRNA
UCUCAAUAUAAAUCCCUCUAAAAUGUCUCUCUCAAAAUAUCUCUCUCAAUUUCUCUGUCAUUAGCUCUCCCUCAACCAAUAUCUUUCUCAAUAUUACUCCCCCCCCCAAUAUCGUCGUCUCGCUCAAUAUCUCUCCAUCAAUGCACGGCUGCUCUUCCUUUGCAGUUCCCCGUGUCCCGCGACCGAGUCCCAGCGAGAAGGUCGCGCAGGGUUAAUUCCUCUGAAAACUCUGCAUCUCCGACCGCGACAAGGUAACUAGCCAUGGAGGAUUGCAUUAAAUGGGACAUAUCUGCAUCUGACAGACCUCUGCAUUCCCUGAUGGCGCCUGGAGAGGCGCGUCCUGCUCACUGUGAAGUACACUACAGUUCACCGUCCCCCUCAGGGGCAUCAGGCCAACCGCAGUGCACACUGUAAAAAAAUAGAAUGCCAUUUGGGAGGCCAGCGGAGAGACAGAGGAGGAUAAGGGUCUUUCAUCAUGAUGUCACUCAGUUAUGUCCCAGUCACCGAAGGAGGACCGCUAUGGGAUGCAGGAGGUUCAGGGGGGCUGCAGGAGGUUCAGGGGGGCUGCAGGAGGUUCAGGGGGGGCUGCGGCAUGGUGUGGAUCACAGGUGGUGUCCUGACCCGCGGUGUCUAUUCUUGGUGUUCCGACUCCGUACCUUACAUCUGAGAUCAAACUUGUGUUUAUCACUACCUCAACUUCUUGGAAUGAAGAACAUUCUCUCUCUCUCUCUCUCCCUCUCCCUCUCUCUGCCUUUCUCUUUUCCUCUUCCUCUCUCUUUUUCUCCAGCUGGCAAAAUGGAUGCAAUUUCCUUGACAGCACUGAUAUUCUAGAUAUUACGGGAACAUAAUUUUAUGGGAACACAACCUCUACAACAAUGGAAUGACAUACCUAAUUUUACAGCCUCCAUCAUAACCUCACACGACCAGGAAAGGACUUAGACACUCAGAAGUCUGCAGUUUGUGAUUCAGCAUAGCCAGCAUAGUGCCUUCGUAUCAUGCUAAGUGGGUUGCUUGUCUGCGGCAGGGACAGGGACACUGGUCUGGUCUAAAGGAAGGAAUAACGAGAGGACCUGGAAGAAAACCGGAUCAAGAGUUCAAAGGACCUCAGACUGGGGAGAAGAUUCACCUUUAAGCAGGACAAAGAAGCACAGAGGCAAAACCACGCUGGAGUGGCUUUGGGACCAGUCUGUGAAUGUCCAGCCAAAGCUCGGAUUUGAACCCAGUUGUACAUCGGAGGGGAGGUUAAUUGAUGCUCCUCAGCUAAUCUGACAGAGCUUGAGAGUAUGUACCAGGAAGAAUCGAAGAAACUGCCAUAAUCCAGGUGUGCAAAGCUGGGCAUAACCAAGAAGACUCAAAUCUGUGAUCGUUGCCAAAGAAGCUUCUAUAAAGCAUUGAAUAAAGGCACUGAAUACUAAUGUGUAUGAGAUAUUUCAGUUUUGCAUGUUUAAUCAUUUGGCCCAAAUUUCUAAUGAUAAUAGCACAUUUUAAAUUUUAAAUGAAGUCUAUAACACAACAUAAUGCGGAGAAGGUGAAGGGGUGUGAAUACUUUUCGUAGGCACAUAUUUGUUGCAUGACAUUGAACAUGCAUAGCUGACAUGUCUGGCAGUCUGAGCUAUGAUUUCUAAAAGAGUAGGAUUAAUAGAAUGUUGCAUAUCUAUAUGUAUAUACGAUCGGACCUAGCCACCUAAUUAGAUACCUAAUUUAAUAGGUUAAUUGAAUUAACACAGAUGAUUAUUGUACAUUUUUUUACAUUAAUG